GACGUAGGAGGCGAGCGUUAUCCGGAUUCACUGGGCGUAAAGCGCAUGUAGGCGGUUGGACAAGUCGUGUGUUAAAGCCCCUGGCUCAACUGGGGAGGGUCACGCGAUACUGAUCGACUCGAAGGCAAGAGAGGGAAGUGGAAUUCCCGGUGUAGUGGUGAAAUGCGUAGAUAUCGGGAGGAACACCAGUGGCGAAGGCGACUUCCUGGCCUGUUCUUGACGCUGAGGCGCGAAAGCUAGGGGAGCAAACGGGG
rnacentral:rRNA from 1 species